rnacentral:rRNA from 1 species
ACGAACGCUGGCGGCGUGCCUAAUACAUGCAAGUAGAACGCUGAAGGAGGAGCUUGCUUCUCUGGAUGAGUUGCGAACGGGUGAGUAACGCGUAGGUAACCUGCCUGGUAGCGGGGGAUAACUAUUGGAAACGAUAGCUAAUACCGCAUAAUAGCAGUUGUUGCAUGACAACUGUUUGAAAGGUGCAAUUGCACCACUACCAGAUGGACCUGCGUUGUAUUAGCUAGUUGGUGGGGUAACGGCUCACCAAGGCGACGAUACAUAGCCGACCUGAGAGGGUGAUCGGCCACACUGGGACUGAGACACGGCCCAGACUCCUACGGGAGGCAGCAGUAGGGAAUCUUCGGCAAUGGACGGAAGUCUGACCGAGCAACGCCGCGUGAGUGAAGAAGGUUUUCGGAUCGUAAAGCUCUGUUGUAAGAGAAGAACGAGUGUGAGAGUGGAAAGUUCACACUGUGACGGUAUCUUACCAGAAAGAGACGGCUAACUACGUG